rnacentral:rRNA from 1 species
UACGUAGGGACCAAGCGUUGUUCGGAUUUACUGGGCGUAAAGGGCGCGUAGGCGGCUUAACAAGUCACUUGUGAAAUCUCCGGGCUUAACUCGGAACGGCCAAGUGAAACUGUCAAGCUAGAGUGCAGAAGGGGCAAUCGGAAUUCUUGGUGUAGCGGUGAAAUGCGUAGAUAUCAAGAGGAAUACCGGUGGCGAAAGCGACUCUCUGGACGGCAACUGACGCUGAGGCACGAAAGCGUGGGGAGCAAACAGG